GAAUAUUGGACAAUGGGCGAAAGCCUGAUCCAGCCAUGCCGCGUGUGUGAAGAAGGUCUUCGGAUUGUAAAGCACUUUAAGUUGGGAGGAAGGGUUGUAGAUUAAUACUCUGCAAUUUUGACGUUACCGACAGAAUAAGCACCGGCCAACUUCGGGCCAGCCGCCGGGGUAAUACGAAGGGUGCAAGCGUUAAUCGGAAUUACUGGGCGUAAAAAGCUCCUUAAUAGUGUCUCAAGUUUACCGUCAAAACCCCGGUCUCCACCUGGUAACUACUUUCAAAACUUGCAAGCUAUAGUAUGGCAUAUGAUACUAUCAUUUCCUUUUUAUCUUUGACCUUCCUCCAUUUCCUCAAUCCCCUCUUUUUCCAAUUCCCCCCCCUGGCCUAAUACUGACACUGAGGUGCGAAAGCGUGGGGAGCAAACA
rnacentral:rRNA from 1 species